rnacentral:rRNA from 1 species
UACAGAGGGUGCGAGCGUUAAUCGGAAUUACUGGGCGUAAAGCGUGCGUAGACGGUUAUUUAAGUCGGGUGUGAAAGCCCCGGGCUCAACCUGGGAAUUGCGUUCGAGACUGAAUAGCUAGGGUACGGUAGAGGGAAGUGGAAUUUCCGGUGUAGCGGUGAAAUGCGUAGAUAUCGGAAGGAACAUCAGUGGCGAAAGCGACUUCCUGGACCAGUACCGACGUUCAGGCACGAAAGCGUGGGGAGCAAACAGG